rnacentral:rRNA from 1 species
UACGAAGGGGGCUAGCGUUGCUCGGAAUCACUGGGCGUAAAGCGCACGUAGGCGGACUCUUAAGUCGGUGGUGAAAUCCUGGAGCUCAACUCCAGAACUGCCUUCGAUACUGAGAGUCUCGAGUCCGGGAGAGGUGAGUGGAACUGCGAGUGUAGAGGUGAAAUUCGUAGAUAUUCGCAAGAACACCAGUGGCGAAGGCGGCUCACUGGCCCGGUAUUGACGCUGAGACGGCGAAAGCGUGGGGAGCGAACAGG